CAACGAGAUUGGAUUGGAUUAGGUAGGGGGCUCGGGUUCGGGCGAGACAAAGGAACAGGAGGAGAGGGCAAAAGGCGUAGCGGCGGCGGGGGUGCGGGAGUUAAAGAGAGCGGUGACCUAAGCCGGCAGCGCCCUAGCUAAGGAGGCUCGUCGUCCACCAGAGCGUCCCGUGCAGGUGGCAGCCGCUGCGAGGGCGCCUAUCCGCUCAGACUGGGGUUGUCGUGACCGCGACGCAGCUCAACCGAGCCACGUCGCUGCUGCUCUAGAGGAGGAGUGGCUGGUUUAGCAGUCGAGCUCAUCCCUCUCGUUCAAGGAGUAGGUGGAGUCCCGGUCUCCACUCGUGCCCUGGGGCUUAAGAGCAGGUAACAGCCGAGGACGAGCACGCGGACUGCGAUACCUAAAAGAAAGAAAGAUCGCCAAGGGAAGGAUAACCCCCACGCAGCAACCGCAGAAGAGAAGGACGUUCCUGUACAGGUCUGAUACGACUACCACUCCUGACCGUUCACACUACGGUACAAGCACUGCACGACGAAGGAAGGUUCGGUAGGGACAGUGCCUCUCCUGGGCGAAAACAAGUAAUAAAAAGGAAGUUUCACAGUCUAAAGUGUCAAUCUUUUGAACGCUGAAACACUUUCAUUUCAGCGUUUGUCCGUUUCUUCCUCUACUAUCGAGUUCCACCUUUUUGGACCCUUCAGUGUCCGAAAUCUCCCUCCCUACAACUAUGUGCCGUGUACAUGGUUCGAAUAGGACGGUGUACAUCGGCGACAUCACCACCGGCGGAGCAGGAACCAAGUCCCUAGUUGAUUAAGUAGGAGCACUGGACGACGAAGGUUCGGUAGAGACAGUACUCUCCUGGACGAAAAAAAUAAUGAAGGGAAGUUUCACAAAUUAAAACGUCAAUAUUUUGAACGCUGCCGUUUCUUCCUCCACUAUUGAGUUCCACCUUUAUUGGACCCUCCAGUGUCCGACUCUCACUCCCUUCAACCAUGGGCGGUUUACAUGCUUCGAAUAGGCUGUGUACAUGCUUCGAAUAGGUCGUCAGGAUGUGUACACAUUGUCGCCGUCACCACCGGUGAAACAAAAAGUCGAGAAGCCGUUCCCUUUGGCCCUAAACCAAGUGAAGUUGUACCUGUAUCCAGUUUAGGCCCAGCUGAUGCGGUACUUGCGGAAGUCAGCGUUCUGGAACAUGAAAUCGUAGUUGUCACCAACAAGUCCGAGUAUUAUCUAGUAGUUUCCAUGUAUCGACCGUAUUGUAUCAAUGUUCGGUAUUGUACUCUAGCGGAGAGGUAUCGAAAGGUAAGGUUGUACGGAGCUGCGUUGUUCGACCACGGGCUCCGUAAGCUUCCGACAUGUCAGUUCUAACAACAACAGAAGACGACCUACGACUUUGUCUGUUCUGUUCGGCACUCUACUGUUCACGUCUCUCGUCUCAACACCGAACGCCUUUUAGACUCUAAGAGUUUUUCAUUUAACCAUAUACACCAACAGCUCUUCUGUAAGCUUAUACCGUAUGUGGUUCCUUUUACGAAACAUGCGCUUAUAAAUUUUUUAUACCGAGGCCUUGAUGAAACAUCCAGUCACAAUAGCAUAUAAUAUAAAUUAUAUAUUUAUGCAUAAUCAAUUCUGUACUAAAAGCAUACAUAAGUAGAGUUGUUAGUAUGUAUCGAUG
rnacentral:rRNA from 1 species